AUGGUACUCCCUCCAUCCCAAAAUUAUUGUCUUAGAUUUCUCUAAAUACAGAUGUAUCAAGUCACGUUUUAGUAUUAGAUACAUCUGCAUCUAAUCUAAUCUAAGACGAGAAUUUUGGGACGGAGGGAGUAUCUC
rfam:Triticum aestivum genome assembly, contig: Triticum_aestivum_CS42_TGACv1_scaffold_361746_4DS